CCUACGGGGGGCAGCAGUGAGGAAUAUUGGUCAAUGGGCGCAAGCCUGAACCAGCCAAGUCGCGUGAGGGAAGACGGCCCUACGGGUUGUAAACCUCUUUUGCCGGGGAGCAAGCCUGAGCACGUGUGCCCAGGCGGAGAGUACCCGGAGAAAAAGCAUCGGCUAACUCCGUGCCAGCAGCCGCGGUAAUACGGAGGAUGCGAGCGUUAUCCGGAUUUAUUGGGUUUAAAGGGUGCGUAGGCGGAUUGAUAAGUUAGAGGUGAAAUGUCCGGGCGUAACUCGGGAACUGCCUCUAAUACUGUUGAGCUAGAGAGUAGAUGCGGUAGGCGGAAUGUAUGGUGUAGCGGUGAAAUGCUUAGAGAUCAUACAGAACACCGAUUGCGAAGGCAGCUUACCAAUCUAUAUCUGACGUUGAGGCACGAAAGCGUGGGGAGCAAACAGGAUUAGAUACCCUUGUAGUC
rnacentral:rRNA from 1 species